UAAAAUAUUAGGAUCUAUUAUAUUCUUUUUUCUUUAACUGUCAAUUUUUUGACGUAUCUCAUAUAUUAUAGUAUUACAAUGAAGUGCUCUAAUUUAUCUGUUAAAAAAGGUUUCAUCACUGUUUCCUGUAGUAAUUCUCAAUAAUGUUUUAAAUAGGAUAUAUUAAAUAGGAUAUAUUAUCUAAAGUAAACAGGCUUUUAAGCCUUCAAUUUGCCCCAAUUGACAUGAAGUGCGCAUUUCGAAAAGCCAGUGAACGCAGCGUCAUACGGGCACCCCCACCUCACUCCCCCGGAAACCCCCGGAUGAACCCGCAGGAAGGCGCGCGGCUGAAGAACUCUUGGACAGCUGGAAGGUGGGCGAUGCUUUGAACUUUUCUCUGUAGAAAUGUAAUGUUUAGAUUUGGGAAACCAGAGAUGGGUUUUUAGUAAAAACGUGUUGGCUGUUUAGGAUAAACGUUGAAUGACGAGGCGUUUUUCCAUCUUAAAUUUAAAAGGCCGCAUGAUCACGGUGAAGGCCUCUUCUGUAUAGAGGACGGGGGCGGAAACGUCACGUGGUCUCCGCAGAGACUGGUCAGUUAUGUUGAGACAACAUGCACAAAUAGUUCCUGGACUGAUCUUCUGCUAACUUUGAGGUGGAGAGGCUGUCAGGUUCAUCUGUUUCAGGGUCCUGCAUGCUCUCCCUCCAUGUUGGCUGUAGCAGUGGAUGGAACUUGCUAAAUGUACUGUUUUGAGAGCCAACUGGGCUCAGUGGUUAUUUGGAAGAUGCGUUUUUGACCAAAAACACUGUGGUGACCUCCUUUGUGAACUGCAUUCAUGGGGAAAUAGAAUAUAAUCCUGGAGAUGGGAGAUGUGGAGCAGGUAAGUUUGUGGCAGCACCAGAGUCCUCCAACAAGUUUUCUGGCAAAGUAAAUGAGGAAGGAUCGCAGUCUGCCAUCGUGGAGUUUUGCUGAAAGGCCUGAACAUGUUCCAUCCAUGCAUCCAUCUUCUUCCAUUCAUCAGGAACCAGGUUGUGAGGGCAGCAGUCUAAGCAAAGAUGCCCACACUUCCCUCUCCUCCAGCUCCUCUUGGGGGACCCCGGGGCCAGCUGAGAGGCGUAGUCUCCCCAGCGUGUCCUGGGUCUCCCUUAGGGCCUCUGCCCUUAUUCCUGUUGGAGUUUUUUUCUAACCCCUUAUGUUUCAAAAGUUUGCAAACAUACAUUUUGGUUGAAAUGAUGAGGAUCCGAGGAUGAAAUCAAGAAGGGACAACAUCAGGGAAAGGGACUGAACCGACUGAACAGCUUCCUCUCUUCAGCAGACACAUGUUCCGAGUACAUAUGUGUCAAAUAUUGACAUCCUCGCCGUUCAGGCCGGUGGCUGGAACAAGCGGAAGUCAGAAAAGCUGGAGCAGACGUUACCAGAAUGAUACCUCCAGGACCAAUCAAAAUGACCCAGAGAAAAACACUGAAGGGCUUUGUCUGAGCAUCAGGAAAACAAGAAUCAGCUGUCAUCAACAUAUGGUGGAUAAAGGUGGAAAGAUUUCAUGUAAUCCAUGGACACCAGUGAAGAUCACAAAUCAUUGAAGAAAAAAGGUUCAGAGCACUGUCUAGUGGGUCUAGAUGACCCUACUCCCAAUGGUUAUGGUGCCAUGGUAAAGAACUAAAGGCUCUAUGAUGUCAUGCUGCUGACCAGACUGUGGUUGGUGAAGUCCAGCAGCACUGCAGGUCCUUGAAGUGUGGUUGAAGAGCUCUCCUCCCAGCUUUUGGAAGGUUCUGCCCCACAAAGCAGCACAGAGUCAUUGAUGGAGAGAGAACAUGAGGGACUAAUUGUCUGCUGAGGAGGAGACUUUCUGCAGUUCAAGCCCCAGCUCCACCCCUAAAAAAGGCUUAUAUGAAGGAAAACCUCAUUUCAACUUUGUACCAAUAAAUGACUUUUAAUUGAAAUGAGAGAUUUUUUUCUGAACUGCACCAAUGAAGGGUUUUUCAACCUAAAUUUCAGCAAUUACAUUAUUUUUUACCUCCGUUCAAGUUUCUACAACACUAGCUAAACAUUUCAGUGCUCACACCUGUGCUGAAGACACUUCUCAUUUUAUCUCAAACGUUUGGCCUUUGAUUUGUAUGUCCAACACCUUAGAAUGAAACACUGUCCUAUUAAACUCAUAUAAUAAAUGUGCUAUGCAUCUCCAAAUCCUUUGUCAGGGUACAGACUACAUUUUAAUUGUAGCAAGACUGAAGUAAAAUGUAACAAAAUCUCAAUGAGUUAUCUUAAAUUAGGGGUAAAUGACAUGAGAAAUUAAGAAUAUUAGAAGUGUGGAGUGAUACGUGUCUCAGUAUGUUAGCUGCAGGAAGGGUGCUGUCCUUGACACGUCCCUUUACUCAGACAGGAUGACAGGUAGGGAAGGGGGUAGCCGAUGAUCUGCUCCAGUAUCUUCAGCACAGAAGCUUCUGCUGCUCUUCUUCAGUUUGAUCUGAAAGCCAGACCAUGAUACAGUUGGACUGGCUGAGCGGUAGGUUGCCAGCAGCUUCAGACGUGCUGAUGUGCCUUGUUGAUAACGUCCUGGAUGUUAGGAAACCAAGUUAGAUCAGCUGAGAUGGGGAUGCCCAGGAAAGGGAAGCUGUGAACCUUCCUCUGUGCCUACUAAAGUCCAAGAUGACUUUCAUGGUCUUUUAUUUGCCGAUCAGCCUUACACUAUACAGUUUCCGCACUUGUCUACAAAGUUCACCUCAGUGACCUUUAAUAAGUCUUUGUUAUUGGCAAGUUAAUUACUUAUAUCCAAGACAUGGAGAUGUGGGUCCAGUAUGAGCAGGAUUUGGGAAAUGGCAGUUGCCAAGAACUCACAUGAAGUUUCAAGGUUUUUCCCUUUAUUUGGAGGAAAAAAAGUUUUUGUCCUUUGUUUGUUGUGCAGAAUUGCAAACCUAGAAAGAAAUCAAGUUGAAAGAAUUUAUAUAAAUGUAUUUGCCCUUCUUUUGACCCUUCUACAUCAUGAAUAUUUGGUGGCUGUUGCUUGGCGACUGUGAGAUCUCUCCAUAGGAUUGACAUGGGCUGGGCCUCUCCAUGACCUUGAUAUGAUUGUUCUUCAGCCAUUCCUUGGUUGCCUUGGCUGUAGGUUCUAGGUCACUAACCUGUUGGAAGACCCAUCCAUGACUGAUUUGAAGGGUCCUGGCUUAAGGAUGGUAGGAAGUUCUCACUCAGGAUUUUCCAUUAAUGGCUCCAUCAACGUGGUGACGUAGCUCUGUGCAGAAAAAUAGCCACAAAGCAUAAUGCUUCCACCUCCAUGUUUGACAGUGGGGAAGCUGUUCUUGGGGUCAUAGGUAGCAAUUCUCUUCCUCCAAACCCAAUGGUUGAGUUGAUGCCAAAGAGCUCAGUUUUGAGCCAAACAUUCCAUUAUGCAGAAUAAACUGAUAAAGCAAACCCUAUUUUUCAGUGUGUGAUUUUCAUUUUUUCAUAAAUCUUAGGACAAUUUAGAUGAUAAAAGUAAUAAAUAUAUGAAAACAGUAUAAUACAGUAAAUAUGUAAAUAUUUGAUGUGAUGAACAAUGCUUAUCUGAUUUAGACCCAACAUGGAAUAUUUUAUGACAGACACACAUCAAGUUGUGUUAUUUAAUGCACGUAAUUUAGACACAAAUGAUAGAAAUGUUAGGUUUAUAUGUCAAAGAGGCCAUGUGAAAAUUUUAGUGCAAAUACGCAUGCGUGCGCGCCGUGCACAUUAAGCCACCCCACCCCCACGUAUCCGCGCGCCGGUCGGUGGGUGUUCGGCGUCAAUAAAGGUAAUCUGGUUGUCGCGCGUUCUGCAUCUCUGCACGAGCUAAAGAAGUCUCAAAGAUGAAUGCAGCUGUUGUUAUCACUGUGACGGAAGAGCGGUGCUGAAAAAUACGGCCUCCAUCGAGAUACUGAACGUAACACGACUGCAGCUGACUCUGCCACGAGGCUCGACAACUUCUUGCAUCAACUGUGAUCGCUGUGGCCGCCAAAACAUCCAAAUGUAAGGCGGGCUACAAAGAUUUCAGGCCAAAAGAGAACGCCUCACAUGUGAUGAAGUGUCUGUAUUGGUUGGAAAAACCAGCAGCCCUCCAGUGCUUCAGCCGUCCAACCAUCAACCGUUUCAGACAUCCAUCCUCCCAUCACUUCAGCCCCACAGCCGUCCACCAGUGUGCCAACUCCUGACAUUUUACUAUCCUGGGGGGGGUCAUGGCCUCUACACUGGAUUCCAAAAAAGAGACAAAAACCCCCCCGACCUCAACCCCCACUCUUAGUCAGACAUGUUUAUUUUUUUUUAUUUACAAUAAUAAAUAAUAUACUAUGUACAUUUAUUUUGUUUUACUUUUUUAUACUUAGUUUCCUUAUUUCCUAUAAUAUUUAUUAGUAGUUGUUGUUUGUUGAUGUUAGUUCUUUUUAGCCCCUUUUAUGUUAAAAUAGACGUAAAUGAUCCAGAUGCUGAUAUUCUAAUAUAUAGACAGAUUUAUGAAUGAAUUAUUCUCAACAGAAGUUCAACGCUAUUGUGGUAGCAGUUUGACUGUUUUACUGUAAUCUGUCGUGCCUCACCCACUGUCCAUCCCAUAAAAAAGAACAAUUCUACAUCAUUAACCUUUUUUUAUUUUUAUUCAUAUGGCACAUUCAUAAAUACAAAGUUAUAAAUCAUACCCCCCAUUUUUCUAACUUUAUCAAUGAGUUCAAACAAAACAUGAACACAGUAAGAAACUCUGACAAUAAGAAAGCAUUUAAAACAUUCAAUCUGUGCGUCAGUUUCAAUGUUUUUGUGAAAAAUUUCAUAAUAAUCCCCUGGUUUGUUUCUGUCUUGUUGCUUUUUGGAAUUGUUGUUUUGAAUUGUUACAGUCAAUAAAGUUUGAAUAAAAAACAA